AAAUUUGUAGCUAAAUAAAGUAAAUGUUUUGAAAACAUUUGAUAGAAUUUU
rnacentral:tRNA from 1 species